AUGUUACCGCCUAUCGAAGGAAACAGUGCUGUGGAUUGUUACUGAAAUUGGGAAUGAUCUUAAAACGCCCACCCUCAGGAAUAAUGCCAUUACACCCCUUGAGCAAAUACUGGUAACAUUGCGGUUCUACGCCACAGGAACUAUGCAGCAAUGGUCUGGAGAUCUCUUUGGAAUGUCCAAAUCCGCUGCAUGUAAAAUCAUUCACUGUGUCUCCAGAAUAAUAUGCACUAAACUCAAAUACUUUAUUGCAAUGCCACGUACAACAGAAGAGCUUAAAAGAAGUGGAAAACUUCUAUAAAAUUGCAAAGUUUCCAAGUGUUGUCGGUGCAAUUGACUGCACUCAUAUUCGCAUCUUCAGUCCAGGUAAUAAAUACUCAUGCAUUUUUAUUUAUACAUAUAACAUCACAUACAACAAUUAUUUAAGCUAGAUGUUGGUUUUGUUUCAGGGGGUAAUAAUGCAGAGCUCUAUAGAAAUAGGAAGGAUACCUUCUCGAUUAACACCCAGCCGGUGGUUGAUGCUGAACUCCGAAUAAGAGAUUUAGUUGCAAGGUGGCCGGGCUCAGUGCAUGACAGCACUAUAUUUAACAACAGCAGGGUGAAAGAUGUCAUGGAAUCCCAACAGCUAGGUAGCUGCUGCCUUAUGGGAAACCGUGGAUAUGCCCUAAAGAAAUAUCUCUUAACACCACUGCCGGAUCCCCAGACUGCAGCUGAGAGACUCUACAAUGAGAGCCAAAUAAGAACGAGGAAUGUGGUGGAAAGAGCAUUCGGAGUGUGGAAUAGAAGGUUUCCCUGCAUAGGCUCACAAUUAAGGGUGGCUUUAAAAAAUGUACAGCCUAUCAUUGUUAGCACUGCAAUAUUGCAUAAUAUAUGCAUAGAAAAAAGGGAAUAUCUACCAAAAGACGAUGGAAAUUCCAUACUUCAUCUUCCAAUAGAAGAGCAUCUAGAUUUCCCGGAGACUGUCAAUGAACAACAAUACAGACAGCAGCUCAUACAAAACUAUUUUACUUCAUUACUAGCCACAGAACCACGACUGUAAAUAAUUAAGUAUAUUAAUAAAUAAUAAUUAAUUCA